GUGGCUUUUUUCGUGCUUUCACUAUCCUUAUCUGCCAAUAAUUUGGAGAGUUCACUUUCAUUCAGCGAAGCAAAUCUGCUGUAGGCCAUUGUUUGUUUGUUUUUUUUCGCGCGCUUAUAGGUUCAAGCUUUUGGCCGCGCAAGGGUUUGGGCACGAGAGAGUCCAAUAAUUUUUAUUUUGGAUGCAAGUUCGAUCCAAAAAAACAAUUAUUGGACGCUGAUGACGUCAUCGGCGGAAAAUACGUAAUAAAUGCCGAAUACUGAAAAUUAGCCGGUGCUUUCUGACCAAUUAGAAACGAGAAUACAUAUUAAAUGUAUAAUAAAAUAUUUAUAAACUGGUCGUUGAGCAAGAUCGUGACUCUAUUUUUAUGACCAUUCGGACCAGAUGAAACUAGACUUAAGGGGUCACUUUUUUAGAUACCCUGUAAUUUAAUUUCUUACCAAACUCCUGAGGUUUAUAAGUGAAUUCAAUAGCGGCACUCCUCUCCUUAUCGCUCUUCCGUCGUAGUUCCAGUUGUACCUGGACAGGUUUUUCAAUGGCAGUAUUCCAAUAUUCCGGAGUUUUGAACACAAUAGCAAACU